rnacentral:lncRNA from 1 species
GCAUUUGAUCUACUCUCCCCACAAACUGUUAAACCUUUUCACCCCUAGCUUACCAUUAAUAUCUUCAUUGAUGUUUUCACACAGCUGAACAUCCACUUUCACUUCAUCUUCUCUUUCUCCACCCGCUGCGCCCCCACUGCACAAAGUGGGGAAAGGUAUCAUGUUACUGAAAUUAUUGUGUCCCCUUUAGGAACUGCUGCUGGAAGCAAAUGUUAACCAGUUCUCCUGUGCAGCCCCCAAAUCUGGAUGUCACUGUGGUGCUGGUAUAAUUCAGACUGUUCCGGAGACCUUUCAAGCUCAGAAGAUCCAAGGGGAGAUUGACAACGUACCUGUGAAACUAAACACAACAGCGAUCUUAAGAGAAGGUGUCCUUUACCAACGAAAA